AGUGAAGCCCAGCCUCUAUCUGUCAGUCGAAGCUGGAUGAAGUCGGAAUUGCGGUCAGUGUUCCUCUGCUGUGCAGGAGAUAGGCUCGCACGGGAGUGUCUGGCAGAUGUAAAUAACAUCUGCAAAACAUCACGGACGCAUCCACGCAGCACAUGUCAUUAUCUCACGUUAUAGGAGCUGGCAGGACGGAAAGAAUGAAGGAGCAGCUGUGGAUGUGCAGAAAAUAGUAGCAUAUUCAGAGAAAUCAUAAACCAAGCCUUUUUUAUUUUUUAAAGCAGGUAUGACUCACAUAUUUUCCUUUUGAAGAACCUGGUUGUUCUUUGGGGAGGGACUAACUCCACGGGCAGUAAAUUCAGGAAAUACAGUCUCCUCGCCUGGAAAAUCUACAGUGCCUGUGUACAUUUUAAAAAGGGGAGGGCUGGGGAUUUAGCUCAGCGGCACAGCGCCUGCCUGGCAAGCGCGACGUCGUGAGUUCGAUUCCCGGUACCCGGGAGGGCAAACAGGGUAGGAAGAAAAAGAGUUUGAUUUUCACCGGCCUGGAGUUUCCCGCGGAGAUGCGCGCGCGGCCCGGUCCUUGACCCUCACUCCGCGCCCGGGUGCCCCGCGGCCGGUCCGCGCGGCUCUGCAGCACCGCCGCCUUCCGGAAGCGCCAGCCGGCGUGGGGCGAGCGCGUCAGAAUCAGAAGGUGACUUCAGGCGAGGCACCGGUUAGGAUCCAGGCGAGAAGCCGGGCAGCGGCCGGCCCAUUCUCUUGCCCAGAUGCUUGUGGAUCUGUGCAGAUGUGGCUUCAAAAGCCGGGUCACAAAGGGCUGCAGACCUGGGGAAAAGCAGGCAGAGCUAGGAAGAAAAGAAAGCGCAGGGACAAAAAGCAUCCCUGGCUCGUCCGUCUCUCGGCCACGCCCCCCUCGGGGUACCGCGGUGACAGUCUGUUUAUAUUUCGUUGCCUUUGAGACUGCGCGUGUUCGGGGCGCUGGCGUGGACUGCUUUGGGGACUGCGGAGGAAACAGACCCUGGAGACCAGAACCGGAGCGCGGAGAGCGCGGGGCGCCGGCGCGGCAGCCCCCGCCCCGUCUGCGGGCUCACCCUUGUCUCAGGGACAGUGCCUGGAAAUCUGCCCAGUCUCCGGACUUCUCAUAGCUGUGCUACGUGGGGGCUGAGGCCAAGGUCUGGGACCUCUGAGGUGAAGACGGUCCCUGUUUCAGGACAGUGGUGGGCUGCCUGCAGAGCCGUCGUAUACCAAAGAAGCUGAGCGGGUGACAGACAUGAAGGUGGUACAGGGGGAGAAACGCAAGAGUUCGGUUCCGUGAUUAGGCGGAAGAGUGGCCUAAACUACCUUACAGAGGAGCUGGCAUCUCACACGGGAGAAGUGCAGAGGGUGGAGGUGGGUGUUAUGCUGCUAUUAACAGCCUUCGAUAAUAAGCGGAAGAAUGUAAACAUCAAGGACGGGCUCCUUCUCCGACCCCUGCCCCCAGCUCUGGCCCCCUCCCUCGCUCACAGGUCCCCAGCUUGGUUUGGUCACGGGUGCCCCUGCGAGAGACUAGAGGAGGCUAGAGGCGGCUGGGGCGUUUAUUUCCCGAGUGCGGUGCUGGUCUGAGCGGACUGCCUCCCUCUCAAAACCGCACGCAGUCCCGAGGGGCUCCCGCCUGCAGGUCCUGGCCAGCCAAGCCCAGGCUGCUCUCAGCCUCAGGGCACCUACUGCCUCUGGUUCCAGUGCAGUUUUGCAAUCCUCCCUUUGUUCCUCGGACACCAAACCUUUGCAGGGAGUGUGCAUUUCCUUAGAGAGGUCAAACUCUUAAGUGCCACGGAGGCGCAGGGUGAAGUGGGAGGGGUCUAAGGCACCAGGCGAGGGUGGCAGUCUGAGGAGGGAGCCCUGGAGUGCGCAGCUGGGACCUGCCUGUGUCCUUUGAGAGUAGGAGCCUAGUAUUAAUUUUACUAAGUAAAAACUAAAAAAGAAUUUUAAAAAACUCAAACAACCAAAAUUGCAAUUUUUGCUGGGGGCUGGAGGCGUGCUCAGCACGAUUUAGGGGCUGGGUUCAACCCCAGUACUGCCGACCCCCCCAAAAAAGCCAAAAGCAAAAACAACAACAAAGAAAAACCAAAGAAAAUUUAGUUUAAAAACUUUUCUGAUUUUCUGACCCAGGUUUUCAGUGGAAACUAAAAACAUACAUUUAGUAGAAGAACUUUCCCCACCUGUUGUUUUUUUUUUUUUUUUUUUUUUUGUCUAUUUGAGGCAGGGUCUGGGUAUGUAGUUCAGGCUGGCCUUGAGCUCACUUUGUAGCCCAGGCUGGUCUUGAACUCACAGAGAUCUUCCUGCCUCAGCCUCCCAAGUGCUGGGAUUACAAACGUGCAACACCACACCCAGAAAACUUUCCCUACUUACAAACACAUUCUGUAGGCCAAAGAAAACAUUCGUCAACUUGACCCGCAGCGGCCAUGCUGGUCUCACACUCACCCUGCUCCUUAGAGAAUCGAGUUACCCUGGGAUCGUGCUGAGGACUCCGGUCUGGACACACACAGCCAGCUUUACUUCAUCUGAUCCUUUCAACAGUGUCACCUCAAGAAAAGUCUCCCAUACCCGCUGCACAAAUGAGGAAAGUCUUUCAAGAACUGAGAGGUAAAACGACUCAGGGACGGCCCGGGCAGGAAGAACGUGCGGAGGGAUUCCGAAGUCUGCGCUCUUCCCCUGAGCCCGGCUCACCCGUUGGCCAGGUGGAUCCUGGGGGUCGGCACCAGGCCUGGGUUCUCCUCAUCUCUUCAAGUCCACGUCUGACUGAGCUCACGCAUUCACAGGGGUCUUCCACGCUUCGCCUGGGACCCAUGGAGUCCCCUAGGUAACAGGUAGGUGGUUUGGGAACAGGUCCACGAAACCCUUGAAAUUACAGGCCCAUUUUUUUUAUGUGUGCACAUAUAUAUUUUUCUGUAGCGUUCACAAAGAUUUCAAAUGGAAAGCCACAAAAAAAUCAAGACCAUCUGUCAAGGUGUUGGAAAGUACAUCGAAGAACUAGAGUAGGCCCACGAGGAGCGCUACAGUAAAAGAUGGAAAUAACAGGCAGUUGGUGGAAAUGCAGAGCGACUGGAAUCCUGGGAGGAAAGGGAACUGGCACCGCCAUGCUGGAAAACAGUUCAGCAGCGCUGCAAAAGCAAAACAGUCACCAGCCGGGCGUGGUGGCGCACCCCUGUAAUCCCAGCACUCGGGAGGCUGAGGCAGGAGGAUCAUUGCAAGUUCGAGACCAGCCUGGGCUACAAAGUGAGCUCAAGGCCAGCCUGAACUGCAUAGCGAGACCCUGUCUCAAAAAGACAAAAGUAAAUAAAUAAUAAAUAACUAAAUAAAUAGAG
rnacentral:lncRNA from 1 species